rnacentral:tRNA from 1 species
UCGAAAUUGCUCAGUUGGGAGAGCGUUAGACUAUACAACGAAAGUCCCUGGUUCGAUCCCUGGAUUUGGCA